UAUACUAUCACAAUUAGUCUGUUCGGUAUUUUGGAAACAAGCAAUAGGAACAUGUAGAGAAUGGCAUUUACAAACUUUAUGAACCUGACUUUUUUCCGUUUUAGUUACUAAAGGACAAACUUUCUGAGAUUUCGUACGGCAGAUGGCAUUUCAGAAUAUCGUUAAAUGAAAUGGCCUACAGUGAUGACGUCAACCUAAUUCCAUGUAAUAUAGUUAUAACUGAAAAUUUUAUUUGGUUUUAUUGCAUCUGUACAUAACCAUGCAUUGUUCCUGAGAGAGAUUUUAGCUUAGCACAAUGCAAAAAUGAUAUUGUCUCGAGUCGAAGACAUUUAACAAUGAAACAUGUGAGAAUGAUGCACUGGCUCAUGACGUAUUCAGUAAAGUUGGCUCCACAGCAGCAGCAGCAGCAUCAGCAACAGGAAAAAGUGUACUUUGAUGAGAAGCUGGGUU